ACAUAUGAACAUAAAGAGUGGAAUAUAGCACUUCUCAUCCGCCCAGCCGUACUCAAGCCACUAGCUGGCCUGUUGGUAAUUGGGUGGGUGAACCACCAGCGAAUCUGGGCUUUCAUGUGUC
rnacentral:rRNA from 1 species